ensembl:lncRNA
AUUCAGCGCAUUAGAAAGUGAUACAGCAGACAACCAGAAGCUUGGACUCUGAGUUCAUACUAUUCCAGUUCACCUCCUCUAUCUCCAUUUGCUCCCUAUAAGGUUUGAGUCCUACCUGCCUCGCCGCCGUCUGUUGAAGGGCCUGGCUUCGGUGUCCUGUAGGUGUCAGGAGACCUGGAGAAUGAGGAAGGGGCACACAUAUAGCAUAUUGUACAUGAAUUUCUCGCUUUAACCCCAACAAACAUGCAUGGAGAUAAAUUAGGCAGUCACCUGCCAAAUGGGAUCCCUUGCCUUGCUUUCUUCCUUUACAUAAUGCUGCUUUCCUGACGUUGGGCAUGUGCACCUCCUAAGGACAGGAGAGACAUGGUUUUUGGCAAGGCCUUUGGAAACCGAAAGCUGUCACAGAGCUGUGGGGUCAGUCGCAGAUGGAAGUUGAUGUAUUCGGCAAUUAGCUCAUCCUAGCAUAUAAUGUGUAAAAAAGAAUAUUUCUGUCUUAAAAACUUCUUAGGACGCUAAAGGUGCCGCUGUCUCACCUCUGUCCACGCAGCAGUAAAUUUCAGCGGGAUUAACGGCUGAGCUCGCUUGAGUUGGCGUCCUGGUAGGGCUACUUAAAGCUGUAUGCUAACAACUUUCACCUGAUGGCCUCCUCCCACACAAGCUCCCAAUGAAGAGCCUCCAAGGUGAUGAUGAAGCUUUGAAGGUCUCCUUAAAGGAACUACCUUGCCUAAGGGUAGAGUUCUCAAAGAGGCCUAGGCUUCCUGGGUAGUGGUGGAAAAUAUGUAAUGAAAGAAUGAAUAAAUAAAUAAGAUUUUAAAGGUUUUAUAUAUAGAAAAAGCUAAUGUUUUAAUUACUAAUUAGAGGUAAAACAGAUAUUUUCACUAUUACAACAAGUGUUAUCAGUAUUGGAAUUUUGGCUCAGACUAUGAGUACACAGGUUAAAAUGUUAAAAGUCUGUUCUUUUGGCUGGUGUUGUGUCAACUCACUGCGGAUACUCUGGUUAUCUCCUGCUGAAUCAGCUCUGACAGGCAGUGAUAAAUGUCUUUGAUUAAUAAAACAUUAGGAAUCAAAUUAAAUAUUAC